AGCGAACGCUGGCGGCAGGCUUAACACAUGCAAGUCGAGCGGGCGUAGCAAUACGUCAGCGGCAGACGGGUGAGUAACGCGUGGGAACAUACCUUUUGGUUCGGAACAACACAGGGAAACUUGUGCUAAUACCGGAUAAGCCCUUACGGGGAAAGAUUUAUCGCCGAAAGAUUGGCCCGCGUCUGAUUAGCUAGUUGGUGAGGUAAUGGCUCACCAAGGCGACGAUCAGUAGCUGGUCUGAGAGGAUGAUCAGCCACAUUGGGACUGAGACACGGCCCAAACUCCUACGGGAGGCAGCAGUGGGGAAUAUUGGACAAUGGGCGCAAGCCUGAUCCAGCCAUGCCGCGUGAGUGAUGAAGGCCCUAGGGUUGUAAAGCUC
rnacentral:rRNA from 1 species